rnacentral:rRNA from 1 species
CCUACGGGAGGCAGCAGUGGGGAAUAUUGGGCAAUGGGCGCAAGCCUGACCCAGCAACGCCGCGUGAAGGAAGAAGGCUUUCGGGUUGUAAACUUCUUUUAAGGGGGAAGAGCAGAAGACGGUACCCCUUGAAUAAGCCACGGCUAACUACGUGCCAGCAGCCGCGGUAAUAUGUAGGUGGCAAGCGUUGUCCGGAUUUACUGGGUGUAAAGGGCGUGCAGCCGGAGAGACAAGUCAGAUGUGAAAUCCACGGGCUCAACCCGUGAACUGCAUUUGAAACUGUUUCCCUUGAGUGUCGGAAGUGUAAUAGGAAUUCCUUGUGUAGCGGUGAAAUGCGUAGAUAUAAGGAAGAACACCAGUGGCGAAGGCGGAUUACUGGACGAUAACUGACGGUGAGGCGCGAAAGCGUGGGGAGCAAACAGGAUUAGAUACCCCGGUAGUC